UACGAAGGGGGCUAGCGUUGCUCGGAAUUACUGGGCGUAGCGCGCACGUAGGCGGUCUUUUAAGUCGGGGGUGAAAUCCUGGAGCUCAACUCCAGAACUGCCUUCGAUACUGGAAGACUUGAGUCCGGGAGAGGUGAGUGGAACUGCGAGUGUAGAGGUGAAAUUCGUAGAUAUUCGGAAGAACACCAGUGGCGAAGGCGGCUCACUGGACCGGCAUUGACGCUGAGGUGUGAAAGCGUGGGGAGCAAACAGG
rnacentral:rRNA from 1 species